AAUUGUUCGCAAUGGGCGCAAGCCUGACGACGCAACGCCGCGUGGAGGAUGAAGGGCUUCGGCUCGUAAACUCCUUUCGACCGAGAUGAAUACCCGCAGGGCUAACAUCCCUGCGGACUGACAGUAUCUCGGGAAGAAGCCCCGGCUAACUCCGUGCCAGCAGCCGCGGUAAUACGGGGGGGGCAAGCGUUGUUCGGAAUUACUGGGCGUAAAGGGUUCGUAGGUGGUCAACUAAGUCAUACGUGAAAUCCCUCAGCUUAACUGGGGAACUGCGUCUGAUACUGGUUGGCUCGAGUGCAGGAGAGGAACGCGGAAUUCCAGGUGUAGCGGUGAAAUGCGUAGAUAUCUGGAGGAACACCGGUGGCGAAGGCGGCGUUCUGGACUGUAACUGACACUGAGGAACGAAAGCCAGGGGAGCAAACGGG
rnacentral:rRNA from 1 species